AAUAUCGCAUCGGGGAGCUUAUGGAUAGGCUGAGAGGGAGUUUUUAACUUCGACCCGUUCACCUGAUUUGGAUAAUGCCAACGUAGGGAGUGCAGACGAACGAAUU
rnacentral:ncRNA from 2 species